rnacentral:rRNA from 1 species
AUUGAACGCUGGCGGCAGGCCUAACACAUGCAAGUCGAACGGUAACAGGGAUCAGCUUGCUGAUUCGCUGACGAGUGGCGGACGGGUGAGUAAUGUCUGGGAAACUGCCUGAUGGAGGGGGAUAACUACUGGAAACGGUAGCUAAUACCGCAUAACGUCGCAAGACCAAAGAGGGGGACCUUCGGGCCUCUUGCCAUCUGAUGUGCCCAGAUGGGAUUAGCUAGUAGGUGGGGUAACGGCUCACCUAGGCGACGAUCCCUAGCUGGCCUGAGAGGAUGACCAGCCACACUGGAACGGAAACAAGGUCCAGACUCCUACGGGAGGCAGCAGUGGGGAAUAUUGCACAAUGGGCGGAAGGCUGAUGCAGCCAUGCCGCGUGUAUGAAGAAGGCCUUCGGGUUGUAAAGUACUUUCAGCGGGGAGGAAGGGAGUAAAGUUAAUACCUUUGCUCAUUGACGGUACCCGAAGAAGAAGCACCGGCUAACUCCGUG